UGGGGAUAUUGCGGCAAUGGGGGGAAACCCUGACGCAGCAAUGCCGCGUGAAGGAUGAAGGUCUUCGGAUUGUAAACUUCUUUUGUCAGGGACGAAAACUGACGGUACCUGACGAAUAAGCUCCGGCUAACUACGUGCCAGCAGCCGCGGUAAUACGUAGGGAGCAAGCGUUGUCCGGAUUUACUGGGUGUAAAGGGUGCGUAGGCGGCGAGGCAAGUCAGCUGUGAAAUCUGUGGGCUCAACCCACAAAUUGCAGUUGAAACUGUUUUGCUUGAGUGAAGUAGAGGUAGGCGGAAUUCCCGGUGUAGCGGUGAAAUGCGUAGAGAUCGGGAGGAACAUCAGUGGCGAAGGCGGCCUACUGGGCUUUAACUGACGCUGAGGCACGAAAGCAUGGGUAGCAAACAGGAUUAGAUACCCUGGUAGU
rnacentral:rRNA from 1 species